rnacentral:rRNA from 1 species
GAUGAACGCUAGCGGCAGGCCUAAUACAUGCAAGUCGAACGGUAAGUUUUGUAGCAAUAUGAAACCAAGAGUGACGUACGGGUGCGUAACACGUAUGCAACCUACCCUUUACAGGAGGAUAGCUCGGGGAAACUCGGAUUAACCCUCCAUAACAUAAUGGUGUGGCAUCACAUUAUUAUUAAAACUCAGGUGGUAAAGGAUGGGCAUGCGUCUGAUUAGCUAGUUGGUGAGGUAAUGGCUCACCAAGGCGAUGAUCAGUAGGGGAACUGAGAGGUUGAUCCCCCACACUGGCACUGAGAUACGGGCCAGACUCCUACGGGAGGCAGCAGUAGGGAAUAUUGGUCAAUGGAUGCAAGUCUGAACCAGCCAUGCCGCGUGCAGGAAGAAGGCCUUCUGGGUUGUAAACUGCUUUUGUCAGGGGAUAAAAAGCUCGUGCGCGAGCAAUUGCAGGUACCUGAUGAAUAAGCCACGGCUAACUACGUGCCAGCAGCCGCCGUAAUAC